rnacentral:lncRNA from 1 species
CCAUUCACUCCCUGCGCCAGGCUCUGUGCUGGGAUCCAGCCUCAACAGACUCAUUCAUUGCUAGACGCGGACAACGUCCCGUAAACAAAGAACGCUCAGACAUUGUGGUUUGUGCUAUAAUAAGUGGGAGAAAGAGCUAAUUCUAAUUCUGCCUGGAGGAAGGGCAUUGCAAGUCAUGGAAUUUGUACUGUCUAGGGGACUGCAUAUUGGAGCUGGAAGAGGGUUUUUCCAGAGGAAGUAACUGGAGAUGAGGUGGGACGGGGCAGGCUGGGACGAAGAAUUUGGGCUUCUUGAUGUUGGCAAUCGGGACCCCGCUGAGAAAUGCGAGCAGUUCUGUGUUGAAGUCAGAACACCUGCCACUAGCAAUUUGUACAACUUUGGGAAAGUUUCUCUAGGGGACCCCGCUUCCACAUCUAUAAAUCAGAGUACCCACUUCACAGUUUGCUGUGAGGCCUGUGUGACAGAGGAAUGACUGAUUCGUCACCUAUAGAGCAGGGUUGUGAGAUAAAGAUGUUUGUGUAUGAAAGGUUAAGCCGUUCUCCUCUGCUACGUGGUGUAAAGAUCCCAGGAGAAAGAGCCCUUUAACUGCAGCUGGAUCCAGGAACCCAGGCGGGGAAGCAUCAGCAGAGUACUUUUAUUCUGGCAUUCUAUGUGAAGGCAGAAGUCUGGGUUCCACUUGCGAGUUGUGUACAAUAAACUGAAGAAAAUCAGGAAUCCAGGCGCAGCUUAGGAAUCAGUCCUCAGGUGCUGUUGGACUUGGUUCCGUGCUGGCUAUUGGCUGGAGGCUGUCCUCAGUUCCUUGCCGUGUGGACCUCUCUGUAGGGCAGCUCACAACAUGGCAGAUGGCUUCCAUCAGAGCAAGGAGGUGAGAAAAACAGAGAGAACGAGAAAGACAGAGAAAGAGAUGGAUGGAAGCCAAAGUGUUUUUGCAAUCUGACCUCAGAUGUGGCAUCCCGUCUCUUUUGUCAUAUUCUGUUCAUUAAAAGCAAGUCAUUAGGUUCAGCUCACACUCAAGGUGAGGGGACUACAUGACGGAAUGAAGACCAGGAGCCAUCUCAGUGGCUCCCUAGGACACAGCUCAAAUCUGCUCUUUCACCCCGUGUCAGACCUGGACAGCUCUGACCCAUUCUCCAAGCCUCAGAGUAGAUGCUUCACCCUCCAGGAUUGAGUUAAUGGUCCUUCGAGCAUGCCUCUGUGACACCCUGGACUUCUCCAUCUAGCCCCCACCACAGCAUGUCAUUACCUAGCCACUGGUCUGCCUCCUGCCCCUUCUGUAAGCUCUGUGAGGACAGCCACCUUGUCUCUUGUCUUCACUGAUGUGGACCCAGACCCAAGCAUAGGGCCAAAACAUACUGGGCACUCGGGG